UACGUAGGGUGCAAGCGUUGUCCGGAAUUAUUGGGCGUAAAGAGCUCGUAGGCGGCUUGUUGCGUCGUCCGUGAAAACCUGUGGCUCAACUACAGGCUUGCGGACGAUACGGGCGGGCUAGAGGUUCGGGUAGGGGAGACUGGAAUUCCUGGGUGUAGCGGUGUAAAUGCGCAGGAUAUCAGGAGGAACACCGGUGGCGAAGGCGGAUCUCUGGGCCAUUACUGACGCUGAGGAGCGAAAGCGUGGGGAGCGAACAGGA
rnacentral:rRNA from 1 species